CUACGUGCCAGCAGCCGCGGUAAUACGUAGGUGGCAAGCGUUGUCCGGAAUUAUUGGGCGUAAAGCGCGCGCAGGCGGAUCAGUCAGUCUGUCUUAAAAGUUCGGGGCUUAACCCCGUGAUGGGAUGGAAACUGCUGAUCUAGAGUAUCGGAGAGGAAAGUGGAAUUCCUAGUGUAGCGGUGAAAUGCGUAGAUAUUAGGAAGAACACCAGUGGCGAAGGCGACUUUCUGGACGAAAACUGACGCUGAGGCGCGAAAGCCAGGGGAGCGAACGGGAUUAGAUACCCCGGUAGUCCUGGCCGUAAACGAUGGGUACUAGGUGUAGGAGGUAUCGACCCCUUCUGUGCCGGAGUUAACGCAAUAAGUACCCCGCCUGGGGAGUACGACCGCAAGGUUGAAACUCAAAGGAAUUGACGGGGGCCCGCACAAGCGGAGGAACAUGUGGUUUAAUUCGAUGAUACGCGAGGAACCUUACCCGGGAU
rnacentral:rRNA from 1 species